rnacentral:lncRNA from 1 species
CCACCCCUAAACCAUAUUUAUUCUUGUAGGGGACAAUAAAACAAAUGAAAUGAAAUAAAAGGGAAGUCCCGAGAGGGUCACCCCACCCCUUCUUGUUUGAAAACUUGUAAACGGUCAACAUCCCCACCCCUAAACCACAUGUAUUCUUGUAUGGGACAAUAAAACAAAUCAAAUGAAAUGUAGGUAAAGUCUCUGGGGGUUACCACCACCCCCUCCUGUUUGAAUACUUGUAAAUGGUGGAGAUCCCCACCCGUAAGCCAUAUAUAUUCUUGUAUUGGACAAAAAAUCAAAUCAAAUGAACAUGGGACCAUAUAAAUGG